UACGUAGGGGGCAAGCGUUGUCCGGAAUCAUUGGGCGUAAAGAGCGUGUAGGCGGUCCGGUAAGUCGGCUGUGAAAGUCCAGGGCUCAACCCUGGGAUGCCGGUCGAUACUGCCGGACUAGAGUUCGGAAGAGGCGAGUGGAAUUCCUGGUGUAGCGGUGGAAUGCGCAGAUAUCGGGAGGAACACCGGUGGCGAAGGCGGCGACCUGGGUAGAUACUGACGCUGAGGUGCGAAAGCUGGGGGAGCAAACGGG
rnacentral:rRNA from 1 species